rnacentral:lncRNA from 1 species
GCCCAACCGAGCGGGACAGGCAGGGCCCUGCAGGCAGCACGGCACCGGGGGUCCUCUGGUGCUGCUGAGCACCCGAGGGUCCCGCACCGGAGCAGGGCAGUGAGGAGGGGAUGGUCCCCGCGGGCGCUCGUGUGGCCCUCGGCCGGCUGGGUGGAGGCGCGGGGCACGGGGCAGCCACCCCACGCCACGUCGGCCCAGCGUGGGCAGAUCUCCACGGGGCCACGGAGGGAGGCGAUGCCGGCCCCUGGUGCACCGCAGCCCCGGGCACCCAGCGUGGAGGCAGGGCUGGGGCAGAGCCCACGGCCCGGCAGCGCCGGUGCUGCAGCAGCGCGGACGUGCGCCCAGGCAGGUGCCGGCACAGCGCUGCCACCGCCACCCCUCCGCGGGCCCGAUCCAGCCAGCAGCGGCAUCCUGUGCUUGUGCAACUGCUCAUUAGCACACACUUCCCAGGCCCUGUAAUUUACGUUAUCAGCACUUGGGAGCAGCAGUGGCAGCCUCAGCACGAUGCCUCCGUCCUGCUGCUAUCUGAUGGAGCCCUCCUCGGAGGGUCACAAGCAGCCGGUGCCGUUCCAGCCAUGGAAACCACCCGUUGUGCUGGCAGCGGUCUCAUCACGUCACCAAACCGUGACCCUGCACAGACAACCCCUCCUCCUCGCUGCCCGCGCCCUGCUGCCCACCCUGAGCCGCCCGCUUGUACGCACACGGUGAGAUCCAUUUCCUCAUGCUGCCUGCACAAAGCCGAUCAGCGACAUCAGGAAACUCUCUGUGUCAUCAGUAUCGGAGCUCUUUUAUUUAUAAUGUCUUGCAACAGCCUUGGAAACAAGGGGAUUGGCAAAAAGAGCAUUCAGCCGGGAGGGGUGCCUGCUCUGAAGCUGGCACUACUCAGCCUGGCAGGACCGGGCUCAGCAGUGUCGGGGGGCAGAGGCAGCGCGGGGUGGCUGCAGCCCUGCCUCGGCGAAGAGGGGCGAGAGGAACUGCAGCACUGCAGGCACGGGUGGUGAAAAUCCCCGCGCCACAAAAAGCACAGUGCCAGGGAGGUGUCACCCCCUGCGUGUGCAGAUGAGAUUUGUCAUCUGCCGGCCCCGCACUCGGCACCCCACAGGCAGCGGCCCCGGUGCUGAUGGCAGCCGCGGUGCCGGGGAGCCUGAGUCACCCCGCGCCCUUCACGCGGCAAAGGUGCCGCUGCUAUUUUGGGGCCGUGACUGCAACUUAGGAAAACAGCUAACUCCAAAC